rnacentral:antisense_RNA from 1 species
UUAUGGCGGGCCGAGUGGGGAGACCUCCGGGUCUGCCGGUUCUCCGUAGACCGGUUCGCCAGCCCCACUGUCGGGCCCGCCACCU